GCCCGCUUGGUGAAACGGCAGACACGCAGCGCUUAGGACGCUGUGCCGCAAGGCGUGGGGGUUCGAGUCCCUCAGCGGGCA
rnacentral:tRNA from 1 species